rnacentral:rRNA from 1 species
UACAGAGGGGGCAAGCGUUGUUCGGAAUUACUGGGUGUAAAGCGCGUGUAGGUGGUGGGCCAAGUCUGUGGUGAAAUCGCCCGGCUCAACUGGGCGGGGUCCGUGGAAACUGGUCGACUGGAGGACGGUAGAGGCGAGUGGAAUUCCCGGUGUAGUGGUGAAAUGCGUAGAGAUCGGGAGGAACACCAGUGGCGAAGGCGGCUCGCUGGGCCGGUCCUGACACUGAGACGCGAAGGCGUGGGGAGCGAACGGG